GUCUAUGGCCAUACCACUGUGAAUGUGCCUAAUCUCAGAUGCUAAGCAGGGGUGGGCCUGCUUAGUAGUUGCAUGGGAGUCUGCGUGGGAAUACGGGGUGCUGUAGGCU
rnacentral:rRNA from 1 species